GACGAACGCUGGCGGCGUGCUUAACUCAUGCAAGUCGAGCGAUGAAGCUCCUUCGGGAGCGGAUUAGCGGCGGACGGGUGAGUAACACGUGGGCAACCUGCCUUAUAGAGAGGAAUAGCCAUUCGAAAGGAUGAUUAAUACCUCAUAAUAUUGUAGCUUCGCAUGGAGCAACAAUCAAAGGAGCAAUCCACUAUAAGAUGGGCCCGCGGCGCAUUAGCUAGUUGGUGAGGUAACGGCUCACCAAGGCGACGAUGCGUAGCCGACCUGAGAGGGUGAUCGGCCACAUUGGGACUGAGAAACGGCCCAGACUCCUACGGGAGGCAGCAGUGGGGAAUAUUGCACAAUGGGGGAAACCCUGAUGCAGCAAAGCCGCGUGAGUGAUGACGGCCUUCGGGUUGUAAAGCUCUGUCUUCAGGGACGAUAAUGACGGUACCUGAGGAGGAAGCCACGGCUAACUACGUGCCAGCCGCCGCGGUAA
rnacentral:rRNA from 1 species